UACGUAGGUCCCGAGCGUUGUCCGGAUUUAUUGGGCGUAAAGCGAGCGCAGGUGGUUUAUUAAGUCUGGUGUAAAAGGCAGUGGCUCAACCAUUGUAUGCAUUGGAAACUGUAUUUCUAGAGUGUCGGAGAGGCAAGUGGAAUUCCUGGUGUAGCGGUGAAAUGCGUAGAUAUCAGGAGGAACACCAGUGGCGAAGGCGGCUUGCUGGACGAUGACUGACGUUGAGGCUCGAAAGCGUGGGGAGCAAACAGG
rnacentral:rRNA from 1 species